GACAGAGGGUGCAAACGUUGUUCGGAAUUACUGGGCGUAAAGCGCGUGUAGGCGGCUAAGUAAGUCGGGCGUGAAAUCCCACGGCUCAACCGUGGAAGUGCACUCGAAACUGCAUAGCUAGAGCCUGGAGAGGAAGGUGGAAUGCUUGGUGUAGAGGUGAAAUUCGUAGAUAUCAAGCGGAACACCGGUGGCGAAGGCGGCCUUCUGGACAGUGACUGACGCUGA
rnacentral:rRNA from 1 species